UACGGGGGGAGCAAGCGUUGUUCGGAUUUACUGGGCGUAAAGGGCGCGUAGGCGGCCACUGCAAGUCAGUUGUGAAAUCUCCGGGCUUAACCCGGAAAGGUCAACUGAUACUGCAGGGCUAGAGUGCAAAAGGGGCAACUGGAAUUCUCGGUGUAGCGGUGAAAUGCGUAGAUAUCGAGAGGAACACCUGCGGCGAAGGCGGGUUGCUGGGCUGACACUGACGCUGAUGUGCGAAAGCCAGGGGAGCGAACGGG
rnacentral:rRNA from 1 species